UGUUGGGAAUGAAAAAAUAAACGAAUUUUGUGAAACUAGAACGUGAUGAAACGUUGAGAUCGUCAUUUUCAAGAGUCCUCGUUAGGUACACAAACUCCGAGAGUUCGUCCUCUGAACCUUAUAAUGUUUAUGUUACUCAAGCGAGAAUUCCCGUAAGAUCCAAUCUCUUCUCAUGGGGCAGUUCAGAAGAUACGAGCAAUCUCCUCGAUCUUAGACACCACACGGAAAGAAAAAGAAAAAGAGAACAGAUUGCCAAAUCUUUAAUCGUUCCUUCUGUAAUUCGUUGAUAGUAGAGGGGGAUAAAUUUCCGAAGUUUGUUCUCUGCGACGUGACUCGGCUGUUUUUGUGAACUUUAAAUCAUGACAUGCUCAUCUAUAUUUUCGUGACGAGAAUGUCGCGAGACGAGGUAAAAUACAUACAGAGAGAAA
rnacentral:lncRNA from 1 species